CCAGCCCUACAAAACAUGCUAGCAUUGGAAAAUACAAUUUUAGGGUGGGGGUACUGGGGAGUGAGCCCAGGGUUUUCACGUUGAGCUACAUCUCCAACCCCUUCUUAACCAUAGAGACAGGAUGCCAUUAAGUGAGUAAGUUGCUCAGGCUGGAGUAGAACUGUCUGCAGAGCUCGACUGCCCUGAGAUCUUCAAAGUGAAUUUCAGUUGGUUGAGAGACAGAAGGUCCUGGUUCCCAAGGAGAUGUAACCGUGAAGUAAAGCCACGGCUGAAAACAGAGCAUGAUGUACAUCUUCAGUGUUCACUAUGCUCCUGUUUGCAAAAGCGGGAGGCUGUGGUAUCUAAGGAGUGAAUCCAUUGCUGUCUGAGGUGUCCACAAUGAGCUAAAUGAUCAGCAAAGUGCAAAUGUGAGGACCCAGCAAGAAGGGAAGGGGCCAUUGGUCACCUAGGAAGCAGCCUCACCAGAUGCUUGAUUUACCACAGCUGGACUUU